rnacentral:rRNA from 1 species
AUUGAACGCUGGCGGAAUGCUUUACACAUGCAAGUCGAACGGUAGAGGGGGCAACCCCUCGAGAGUGGCGAACGGGUGAGUAAUAUAUCGGAACGUGCCCAGUCGUGGGGGAUAACGUAGCGAAAGUUACGCUAAUACCGCAUACGAUCUAAGGAUGAAAGCGGGGGAUCGCAAGACCCCGCGCGAUUGGAGCGGCCGAUAUCAGAUUAGGUAGUUGGUGGGGUAAAGGCUCACCAAGCCAACGAUCUGUAGCUGGUCUGAGAGGACGACCAGCAACACUGGAACUGAGACCCGGUACAGACUCCUACGGGAGGCAGCAGUGGGGAAUUUUGGACAAUGGACGCAAGUCUGAUCCAGCCAUUCCGCGUGCAGGAUGAAGGCCCUCGGGUUGUAAACUGCUUUUGUACGGAACGAAAAGGUCUCUCUUAAUACGGGGGGCUCAUGACGGUACCGUAAGAAUAAGCACCGGCUAACUACGUGCCAGCCGCCGCGGUAA